UCUUAUGGAUAAACAAAAAAUGUGGUUUCAUGAGACAGAAUCUACUCUUGGUAAAGAUGCUAUGAA
rnacentral:pre_miRNA from 1 species